rnacentral:rRNA from 1 species
AUUGAACGCUGGCGGCAUGCCUUACACAUGCAAGUCGAACGGUAACGGGCCUUCGGGUGCCGACGAGUGGCGAACGGGUGCGUAAUACAUCGGAACGUGCCCGAUCGUGGGGGAUAACGAGGCGAAAGCUUUGCUAAUACCACAUACGAUCUACGGAUGAAAGCAGGGGACCGCAAGGCCUUGCGCGGACGGAGCGGCCGAUGGCAGAUUAGGUAGGUGGUGGGAUAAAAGCUUACCAAGCCGACGAUCUGUAGCUGGUCUGAGAGGAUGAUCAGCCACACUGGGACUGAGACACGGCCCAGACUCCUACGGGAGGCAGCAGUGGGGAAUUUUGGACAAUGGGCGCAAGCCUGAUCCAGCCAUGCCGCGUGCAGGAUGAAGGCCUUCGGGUUGUAAACUGCUUUUGUACGGAACGAAAAGCCUUCUUUUAAUACAGGAGGGUCAUGACGGUACCGGAAGAAUAAGCACCGGCUAACUACGUG